rnacentral:tRNA from 1 species
UGGGUUGUGGCUCAGUGGUAGAGCGCUUGCCUAGCACAUGCAAGGCUCUGGGUUUGAUCCUCAGCUUCACAU